rnacentral:ncRNA from 1 species
CAAAGGCUUGGUCCUGACUUUACUGUCGACUUUAGCUAGAUUUACACAUGCAAGUAUCCGCAGCCCUGUGAGAAUGCCCCCACUCUCUACCGAGAACAAGGAGCAGGCAUCAGGCACCCCUAACCAUCCGCCCAUGACGCCUUGUUCAGCCACACCCUCAAGGGAACUCAGCAGUGAUAGACCUUAAGCUAUAAGUGAAAACUUGACUUAGUUAAAGCUAAUUAAGAGCCGGUAAAACUCGUGCCAGCCACCGCGGUUAUACGAGAGGCCCGAGUUGACAGACAUCGGCGUAAAGCGUGGUUAAGGCCCCCCCCCUCAACUAAAGCCGAACACCCUCAGAGCAGUUAUACGCAUCCGAGGGCACGAAGCUCCAUCACGAAAGUGGCUUUACCCCCCCCCCCCCUGACCCCACGAAAGCUACGAAACAAACUGGGAUUAGAUACCCCACUAUGCCUAGCCGUAAACAUUGAUAGAAUAACACAACAUCUAUCCGCCCGGGUACUACGAGCACUAGCUUAAAACCCAAAGGACUUGGCGGUACUUUAGAUCCCCCUAGAGGAGCCUGUUCUAUAACCGAUAAUCCCCGUUUAACCUCACCCUCUCUUGUUUUCCCCGCCUAUAUACCGCCGUCGUCAGCUUACCCUGUGAGGGCCUCAUAGUAAGCAAAAUUGGCACCCCCUAGAACGUCAGGUCGAGGUGUAGCGCAUGUGAGGAGAAGAAAUGGGCUACAUUCACUAGUCACAGUGAACACGAACGAUAUACUGAAAACGUAUAGCCGAAGGAGGAUUUAGCAGUAAAUGGAAAACAGAGUGUUCCAUUGAAAUCGGCUCUGAAGUGCGCACACACCGCCCGUCACUCUCUCCCAGCAUCCUGACUCACCUAACUAAAACACCACAGCCGCCACAGGGGAGGCAAGUCGUAACAUGGUAAGUGUACCGGAAGGUGCACUUGGAAAAAC